UGCUCCCUCCCCCUCCCUGUACCUCUCACCCCUCCCUUCUCUCCUCCUCUCCGUAUCAGCACCACAGACCCACAAGCAUCCGAGUGACGCACGAAAGAAAGAGACACAGAUACAAUUAACAGGAGCAGCAUCAGGACCACAUCCACCUGCCAGCAAGAAUCAGGACCAAGGACAGCAGCAGCCUGCACAGAGCCUUGGGGAAUCAUGACCAGAGAGGAUCCCCCUGACUCCACCCCAGAGGAGAGCAAACUCCCCCUGGAAUUCCAGAGCCCAUUACUAGAAAAACGGAGAAGACCUAUGGUUCACCCUUCAGCACCUGCUCCUCUGCCUAAGGACUAUGCUUUUACAUUUUUUGACCCCAAUGACCCUGCUUGCCAAGAGAUUCUGUUUGAUCCACAGACCAGUGUACCAGAACUUUUUGCCAUUAUACGACAGUGGGUUCCUCAAGUUCAACACAAAAUCGAUAUAAUUGGCAGUGAGAUCCUAAAGAGAGGCUGUCACGUGAACGACAGGGAUGGAUUGACAGAUAUGACCUUAUUACAUUAUGCCUGCAAAGCUGGAGCACAUGGAGUGGGUGAUCCUGCAGCUGCUGUUAGACUGACCAAUCAGCUUCUUCUGCUGGGAGCAGACAUUACCCUGCGCAGUCGCUGGACCAAUAUGAAUGCUCUGCAUUAUGCUGCUUAUUUUGAUGUUCCAGAACUUCUUCGCACUCUCUUGAAAGCAUCAAAGCCCAAAGUGCUGAAUUCCACCUGUAGUGAUUUUAACCAUGGGACUGCUCUGCAUAUUGCUGCCUCCAAUCUCUGUCUCGGAGCUGUGAAAUGUCUGCUUGAACAUGGGGCAAAUCCUUCUGUCAGAAAUAGCAAGAGCCAAGUACCAGCUGAUGUAGUUCCUGACCCUAUGGAUAUGGGCCUGGACAAGGCAGAGUCUGCUAUGAUUGCCAAGGAGCUGAAACAGCUGCUGUUGGAUGCUGUGCCCUUAACCUGUAACCUGCCCAAGGUUACAUUACCAAACUAUGAUAACAUCCCUGGCAACCUAAUGUUGGCAUCCCUGGGACUGAAAUUGGGUGACAGAAUACUGUUGGAUGCAGAAACGGCUGGCACCCUUCGUUUCUGUGGAACCACCGAAUUUGCCAGUGGACAGUGGGUUGGAGUGGAGCUGGAUGAACCAGAGGGCAAAAAUGAUGGUAGAGUAGGGGGAAUCCGCUAUUUCAUUUGCUCCCCUAAACAGGGCAUUUUUGCUCCUGUGUCCAAGAUCAGCAAAGCCCCUGAUCAACAACCAUCCUCAGUUACCUCCACUCCGAGGACUCCCCGUAUGGACUUCUCUCGAGUCACUGGGAAAGGAAGAAAGGAAAAGAAAGCUACAACCAAGAAAUCAAUGAGUGUGGGGAGCCUGGACAAAGAGGGCCUGAAGAUCGACAUUGGGGACCAGGUGCUUGUGGCUGGUCAGAAACAGGGAACUGUGCGAUUUUAUGGAAAAACUGAUUUUGCCCCUGGGUACUGGUUUGGCAUUGAAUUGGAGAAACCCACUGGAAAACAUGAUGGCUCGGUUUUUGGUGUUCGGUAUUAUACUUGCUCCCCAAAACACGGAGUAUUUGCUCCCCCAUCCCGGGUACAAAGGAUGGGUGGUCCCAAAGAACCCCAGACAGACAACAAUGGUAUGAAGAAGGUGCAUCAAGUUACUAGUAGUGACACAGCCAAAGCGUAACUUCACAACAGUGCGGACUCCAAAAGAAAUUGCUUCAGAAAACUCCAUCUCCAGGUUGCUGUUCUGUUGCUGGUUUCCAUGGCUCCUCCGUGCUGAGAUGCAGUCUUAAAAAUCUGUGUUCUUUUGUCACCUGUAUGUUGGGUCACACAAUGAUGGGUCCUUCUUUCUAUGUAUGCUGUCCUCUGGACCCCCCCUCCCCAGUGCCUUCUCCACAUCUUCCAGCUUGUCACCACUGAUUUCUGCACCCACUGGAAGAAGGUGACAGGGGAGACUAUCACCCUGCGCAAGAUUGUGCAAGAAUGUGUGUGAAUGGAUCUGAGCUCUCUCUGUUCCCAACACCAGUUAUGCCACUAAAUAUUUCAAAUUGGCUGAAUAAAUUGCCUUACUCCCAAUGCUAAAUUGCUGAGCUUUACUUUAAGUGAACCCUCACUCUAUACUGCAAUAUAAAGCAAUAUUGAGAAUAACUGAUAGCUCCCAAUAGAUAUUCUGUAGUUGGGCAAAGAAAAAGCUCUUGACAUUGCAUGUGAUGUUUCGCAUUUCUUGUGCGCUGCCGCGUGGGGAAGGUUUUCUUCAGGUGAGCUGUCUUACAUUAUCAAAGUUUUACUUUUUAGUGUGGAGCAGUCUCAUUCUCAGAUGGACAGUUCAUUAUAGAGUUCCAAGCCAAUUUGGAGAAACCGCACACCUCACAAAACCGAAGCAGCGUGUCCUGGUGCUCGGUGGUAGGGGAAUCGGCAACCACCCAACCAAGGUACGUAGAAGGAUCACCGGCACACAGGAAUUUAGUUAGCAGG